rnacentral:rRNA from 1 species
AAGUUCUGUUGUUAGGGAAGAACAAGUACCAGAGUAACUGCUGGUACCUUGACGGUACCUAACCAGAAAGCCACGGCUAACUACGUGCCAGCAGCCGCGGUAAUACGUAGGUGGCAAGCGUUGUCCGGAAUUAUUGGGCGUAAAGCGCGCGCAGGUGGUUCCUUAAGUCUGAUGUGAAAGCCCACGGCUCAACCGGGGAGGGUCAUUGGAAACUGGGGAACUUGAGUGCAGAAGAGGAAAGUGGAAUUCCAAGUGUAGCGGUGAAAUGCGUAGAGAUUUGGAGGAACACCAGUGGCGAAGGCGACUUUCUGGUCUGUAACUG